AACGAAGGUAGCUUGCUACCAGGCGUCGAGCGGCGGACGGGUGAGUAAUGCUUAGGAAUCUACCGAGUAGUGGGGGAUAGCCAUUGGAAACGAUGAUUAAUACCGCAUAUAUCCUACGGGGGAAAGCAGGGGACCUUCGGGCCUUGCGCUAUUCGAUGAGCCUGAGUGAGAUUAGCUAGUUGGUGGGGUAAAGGCCUACCAAGGCGACGAUCUCUAGCUGGUCUGAGAGGAUGAUCAGCCACACUGGGACUGAGACACGGCCCAGACUCCUACGGGAGGCAGCAGUGGGGAAUAUUGCACAAUGGACGAAAGUCUGAUGCAGCCAUGCCGCGUGUGUGAAGAAGGCCUUCGGGUUGUAAAGCACUUUCAGCGAGGAGGAAAGGUUAGUCGUUAAUAUCGGCUAGCUGUGACGUUACUCGCAGAAGAAGCACCGGCUAAUUUAGUGCCAGCAGCCGCGGUAAUACUAAAGGUGCAAGCGUUAAUCGGAAUUACUGGGCGUAAAGCGCGCGUAGGUGGUUUGUUAAGUUGGAUGUGAAAGCCCAGGGCUCAACCUUGGAACUGCAUUCAAAACUGACUCACUAGAGUACGAGAGAGGUUAGUGGAAUUUCCUGUGUAGCGGUGAAAUGCGUAGAGAUGGGAAGGAACACCAGUGGCGAAG
rnacentral:rRNA from 1 species